rnacentral:rRNA from 1 species
CACACCGCCCGUCACAUCAUGGGAGUUGGUUUUACCCGAAGUCGAUGACUCAACCGCAAGGGGAGAGUCGCCUAAGGUAAAGGCUGAUGACUGGGAUG